rnacentral:rRNA from 1 species
GACGAACGCUGGCGGCGUGCCUAAUACAUGCAAGUUGAGCGCUGAAGGUUGGUACUUGUACCAACUGGAUGAGCAGCGAACGGGUGAGUAACGCGUGGGGAAUCUGCCUUUGAGCGGGGGACAACAUUUGGAAACGAAUGCUAAUACCGCAUAAAAACUUUAAACACAAGUUUUAAGUUUGAAAGAUGCAAUUGCAUCACUCAAAGAUGAUCCCGCGUUGUAUUAGCUAGUUGGUGAGGUAAAGGCUCACCAAGGCGAUGAUACGUAGCCGACCUGAGAGGGUGAUCGGCCACAUUGGGACUGAGACACGGCCCAAACUCCUACGGGAGGCAGCAGUAGGGAAUCUUCGGCAAUGGACGAAAGUCUGACCGAGCAACGCCGCGUGAGUGAAGAAGGUUUUCGGAUCGUAAAACUCGGUUGGUAGAGAAGAACGUUGGUGAGAGUGGAAAGCUCAUCAAGUGACGGUAACUACCCAGAAAGGGACGGCUAACUACGUG